rnacentral:rRNA from 1 species
AACGCGAAGAACCUUACCUGGGCUCGAAAUGGUGUGGACCGGGGUAGAAAUAUCCCUUCCUAGCAAUAGGCCGCACUAUAGGUGCUGCAUGGCUGUCGUCAGCUCGUGUCGUGAGAUGUUGGGUUAAGUCCCGCAACGAGCGCAACCCUUGUCCUUAGUUGCCAUCAUUAAGUUGGGAACUCUAAGGAGACCGCCGGUGACAAACCGGAGGAAGGUGGGGAUGACGUCAAGUCAUCAUGGCCUUUAUGGCCAGGGCUACACACGUGCUACAAUGGCAGGUACAGAGGGAAGCCAACUCGCGAGAGGGAGCCAAUCCCAGAAAGCCUGUCGUAGUCCGGAUCGGAGUCUGCAACUCGACUCCGUGAAGUCGGAAUCGCUAGUAAUCGCAGAUCAGCAUUGCUGCGGUGAAUACGUUCCCGGGCCUGUACACACCGAGACGAC